AGCGAACGCUAGCGGCAGGCUUAACACAUGCAAGUCGAGCGCCAGGUUUCGGCCUGGAGCGGCGAACGGGUGAGUAACACGUAGGUCACGUACCCUAUGGUGGGGAAUACCCCGGGGAAACUCGGAUCAAUGCCCCAUAUGUCCGAAAGGAUGAAAGCGCUUCGGCGCGCCAGAGGAUCGGCCUGCGGCCCAUUAUUUAAUCCUAGUUGGUGAGGUAACGGCUCACCAAGGGUACGAUGGGUAGCUGGUCUGAGAGGACGAUCAGCCACACUGGAACUGAGACACGGUCCAGACUCCUACGGGAGGCAGCAGUGGGGAAUAUUGGACAAUGGCGAAAGCCUGAUCCAGCCAUGCCGCGUGAGUGAUGAAGGCCUUCGGGUUGUAAAGCUCUGUCGUGGGGGAAGAAGUUCUGACGGUACCCCACAAGAAAGCACCGGCUAACUCCGUGCCAGCAGCCGCAGUAA
rnacentral:rRNA from 1 species